rnacentral:rRNA from 1 species
CGUGCUUAACACAUGCAAGUCGAACGGUAACAGGGACUUCGGUCCGCUGACGAGUGGCGCACGGGUGAGUAACGCGUGGGUAUCUGCCUAUUAGUGGGGGACAACUUGGAGAAAUCCAAGCUAAUACCGCAUAAUCUCUACGGAGGAAAGCGGGGGAUCUUCGGACCUCGCGCUGAUAGAUGGGCCCGCGUCUGAUUAGCUAGUUGGUAAGGUAAUGGCUUACCAAGGCGAUGAUCAGUAACUGGUUUGAGAGGAUGAUCAGUCACACUGGAACUGAGACACGGUCCAGACUCCUACGGGAGGCAGCAGUGGGGAAUAUUGCACAAUGGGCGCAAGCCUGAUGCAGCGACGCCGCGUGCGGGAAGAAGGCCUUAGGGUUGUAAACCGCUUUCAGAUGGGAAGAAGGGAUGAGAGUUAAUAGCUCUCUGACUUGACGGUACCAUCAGAAGAAGCACCGGCUAAUUUCGUGCCAGCAGCCGCGGUAAUACGAAAGGUGCAAGCGUUGUUCGGAUUUACUGGGCGUAAAGCGAGUGUAGGUUGUUUAUUAAGUCGGAUGUGAAAUCCCGGGGCUCAACCCCGGAACUGCAUUCGAUACUGAUAGGCUAGAGUUCGGGAGGGGUAAGCGGAAUUCCGUGUGUAGCAGUGAAAUGCGUAGAUAUACGGAGGAACACCUGAGGCGAAGGCGGCUUACUGGACCGAUACUGACACUGAGACUCGAAAGCGUGGGUAGCAAACAGGAUUAGAUACCCUGGUAGUCCACGCCCUAAACGAUGUCAACUAGCCGUAGCGGGUAUCGACCCCUGCUGUGGCGAAGCUAACGCGAUAAGUUGACCGCCUGGGGAGUACGGUCGCAAGAUUAAAACUCAAAGGAAUUGACGGGGGCCCGCACAAGCGGUGGAGCAUGUGGUUUAAUUCGACGCAACGCGAAGAA